UGUUCAACGGCCGCGGUAUCCUAACCGUGCGAAGGUAGCGUAAUCACUUGUUCUUUAAAUGAGGACUAGUAUGAAUGGCAUCACGAGGGUUAUACUGUCUCCUCUUUCCAAUCAGUGAAACUAAUCUCCCCGUGAAAAAGCGGGGAUAGAACUAUAAGACGAGAAGACCCUAUGGAGCUUUAAAAUUCUCUUCAGGCACCAAACUACUUUUACGGGUUACCAGCCCUUUAUACUCACCCACGGCACCAUGAAGAUGACUUUUAGGUUGGGGUGACCACGGAGAAUAAAAAAUCCUCCACGCUGAACUAGGUCUCCAACCCUUGAGCGCAGGGCUACAACCCAAAGCACUAAAAAACUAACACCCAUUGACCCAAUAUACUUGAUCAACGAACCAAGUUACCCUAGGGAUAACAGCGCAAUCCACUUCAAGAGUCCCUAUCGACAAGUGGUUUUACGACCUCGAUGUUGGAUCAGGGUAUCCCAGUGGUGCAGCCGCUACUAA
rnacentral:rRNA from 1 species